AUUGAACGCUGGCGGAAUGCUUUACACAUGCAAGUCGAGCGGCAGCGCGGGGCAACCUGGCGGCGAGCGGCGAACGGGUGAGUAAUGCAUCGGAACGUACCCCGUCGUGGGGAAUAACUACCCGAAAGGGUAGCUAAUACCGCAUACGACCUGAGGGUGAAAGCGGGGGACCGAAAGGCCUCGCGCGAUGGGAGCGGCCGAUGCCGGAUUAGCUAGUUGGUAGGGUAAAGGCCUACCAAGGCGACGAUCCGUAGCUGGUCUGAGAGGACGACCAGCCACACUGGAACUGAGACACGGUCCAGACUCCUACGGGAGGCAGCAGUGGGGAAUUUUGGACAAUGGGCGAAAGCCUGAUCCAGCCAUUCCGCGUGAGUGAAGAAGGCC
rnacentral:rRNA from 1 species